rnacentral:rRNA from 1 species
CCUACGGGGGGCUGCAGUGGGGAAUAUUGGGCAAUGGGGGAAACCCUGACCCAGCAACGCCGCGUGAAGGAUGAAGGCUUUCGGGUUGUAAACUUCUUUGAUCAGGGACGAAAAAAAUGACGGUACCUGAAGAACAAGCCACGGCUAACUACGUGCCAGCAGCCGCGGUAAUACGUAGGUGGCAAGCGUUAUCCGGAUUUACUGGGUGUAAAGGGCGUGUAGGCGGGUCUGCAAGUCGGAUGUGAAAUUCCCAGGCUUAACUUGGGCGGGUCAUCCGAAACUGCGGAUCUUGAGUACUGGAGAGGAUAGUGGAAUUCCUAGUGUAGCGGUAAAAUGCGUAGAUAUUAGGAGGAACACCAGUGGCGAAGGCGGCUAUCUGGACAGUAACUGACGCUGAGGCGCGAAAGCGUGGGGAGCAAACAGGAUUAGAUACCCCUGUAGUC